GACGUAGGGCGCGAGCGUUGUCCGGAUUUAUUGGGCGUAAAGAGCUCGUAGGCGGCUUGUUGCGUCGGCUGUGAAAAUCCCAUGGCUCAACUGUGGGCUUGCAGCCGAUACGGGCGGGCUAGAGUUCGGUAGGGGAGACUGGAAUUCCUGGUGUAGCGGUGAAAUGCGCAGAUAUCAGGAGGAACACCGGUGGCGAAGGCGGUUCUCUGGGCCUGUACUGACGCUGAGGAACGAAAGCGUGGGGGAGCGAACAGGA
rnacentral:rRNA from 1 species